GAUCUGUAGUCUUGGACCUGCACUGGGUUGGUGGUACCCGAGAGCACACCAGACUUGCAGAAAAAGCAUACUCCAGAGGAAGCUGAGGCAUGCCUGCUCAAGAGCCAGCGGAUCCAUGUGCAAUGUUCCUCUGAUAGGCCCUGGGUACUGUUGCCACGGUGAUGAUGGCUCUGCCGUGCCAUUGUCGAUCCACCAACAGUCAGAGAAGCUUUGCAGUCAAGAUAUUGUUUAGCAGACGGAGUGGUUUCUGUUGGACACUUAAGGACUGCUACACAA
ensembl:scaRNA